UCAGGACGAACGCUGGCGGCGUGCCUAAUACAUGCAAGUCGAGCGGACUUAAAAAGCUUGCUUUUUAAGUUAGCGGCGGACGGGUGAGUAACACGUGGGCAACCUGCCUGUAAGACUGGGAUAACUUCGGGAAACCGGAGCUAAUACCGGAUAAUCCUUUUCUACUCAUGUAGAAAAGCUGAAAGACGGUUUACGCUGUCACUUACAGAUGGGCCCGCGGCGCAUUAGCUAGUUGGUGAGGUAACGGCUCACCAAGGCGACGAUGCGUAGCCGACCUGAGAGGGUGAUCGGCCACACUGGGACUGAGACACGGCCCAGACUCCUACGGGAGGCAGCAGUAGGGAAUCUUCCGCAAUGGACGAAAGUCUGACGGAGCAACGCCGCGUGAGUGAUGAAGGUUUUCGGAUCGUAAAACUCUGUUGUUAGGGAAGAACAAGUACGAGAGUAACUGCUCGUACCUUGACGGUACCUAACCAGAAAGCCACGGCUAACUACGUGCCAGCAGCCGCGGUAAUACGUAGGUGGCAAGCGUUGUCCGGAAUUAUUGGGCGUAAAGCGCGCGCAGGCGGUCCUUUAAGUCUGAUGUGAAAGCCCACGGCUCAACCGUGGAGGGUCAUUGGAAACUGGGGGACUUGAGUGCAGAAGAGAAGAGUGGAAUUCCACGUGUAGCGGUGAAAUGCGUAGAGAUGUGGAGGAACACCAGUGGCGAAGGCGACUCUUUGGUCUGUAACUGAC
rnacentral:rRNA from 1 species